rnacentral:rRNA from 1 species
GGUUCAGGAUUAACGCUGGCGGCGUGCCUAACACAUGCAAGUCGAACGAAAUAUCUUCGGAUAUUAGUGGCGAACGGGUGAGUAAUGUACAGGUAAUGUACCUUCGUACUGCGAAUAACAAGCUGAAAAGUUUGCUAAUACGGAAUAGUUUCCUUCGAGGGCAUCCUUAAAGGAAUAAAGAUUUAUCGUGCGGAGAUCAGCCUGUAUCCUAUUAGUUAGUUGGUGGGGUAAUGGCCUACCAAGACGACGAUGGGUAACUGGUCUGAGAGGAUGAGCAGUCACAUUGGAACUGAGAAACGGUCCAAACUCCUACGGGAGGCAGCAGUGAGGAAUUUUGCGCAAUGGGGGAAACCCUGACGCAGCAACGCCGCGUGAGUGACGACGGUCUUCGGGUUGUAAAGCUCUGUCGUGUGUGACGAGUAGGGACGGUAACACACAAGGAAGCCUCGGCUAACUACGUGCCAGCCGCCGC